rnacentral:rRNA from 1 species
UACAGAGGGCUCAAGCGUUGUUCGGAUUUAUUGGGCGUAAAGGGUGCGUAGGCGGCGCGGUAAGUCGGGUGUGAAAUCUUGGAGCUUAACUCCGAAACUGCAUUCGAUACUGCCGUGCUUGAGGACUGGAGAGGAGACUGGAAUUUACGGUGUAGCGGUGAAAUGCGUAGAUAUCGUAAGGAAGACCAGUGGCGAAGGCGGGUCUCUGGACAGUUCCUGACGCUGAGGCACGAAGGCCAGGGGAGCAAACGGG